rnacentral:lncRNA from 1 species
AGUCACCACUGACCAAGGAGGGCAGACACUAACAGGAGCUUGUUUGAAGAGGGAGAAGGGUGCCCCCGUGGGUGGCCACAUCCUCAGUUACCUCCUGGAAAAGUCACGAGUGGUGCACCAGAAUCAUGGGGAGCGGAACUUCCACAUCUUCUACCAGCUGCUGGAGGGGGGCGAGGAGGAGACUCUUCGCAGGCUGGGCUUGGAACGGAACCCCCAGAGCUACCUGUACCUGGUGAAGGGCCAGUGUGCCAAAGUCUCCUCCAUCAACGACAAGAGUGACUGGAAGGUCGUCAGGAAGGCUCUGACAGUCAUUGAUUUCACCGAGGAUGAAGUGGAGGACCUGCUGAGCAUCGUGGCCAGCGUCCUUCAUUUGGGCAACAUCCACUUUGCUGCCAACGAGGAGAGCAAUGCCCAGGUCACCACCGAGAACCAGCUCAAGUAUCUGACCAGGCUCCUCAGCGUGGAAGGCUCGACGCUGCGAGAAGCCCUGACACACAGGAAGAUCAUCGCCAAGGGGGAGGAGCUCCUGAGCCCGCUGAACCUGGAGCAGGCCGCGUACGCACGAGACGCCCUCGCCAAGGC